rfam:Stegodyphus mimosarum contig6162, whole genome shotgun sequence.
GCCAUUGUGAUGUAAUGGUAGCACACUCGGCGCUUAUUCGAGAGGUCCAGGUUCGAGUCCCGGCAAGGGCA